rnacentral:rRNA from 1 species
CAGUAGCCGCGGGAAUACGAAGGGGGCUAGCGUUGUUCGGAUUUACUGGGCGUAAAGCGCACGUAGGCGGACUUUUAAGUCAGGGGUGAAAUCCCGGGGCUCAACCCCGGAACUGCCUUUGAUACUGGAAGUCUUGAGUAUGGUAGAGGUGAGUGGAAUUCCGAGUGUAGAGGUGAAAUUCGUAGAUAUUCGGAGGAACACCAGUGGCGAAGGCGGCUCACUGGACCAUUACUGACGCUGAGGUGCGAAAGCGUGGGGAGCAAACAGGAUUAGAUACCCCCGUAGUCCCUGUCUCUUAUAC